UAAUUGAAGAGUUUGAUCAUGGCUCAGAUUGAACGCUGGCGGCAGGCCUAACACAUGCAAGUCGAGCGGUAACAGGGGAAGCUUGCUUCUCGCUGACGAGCGGCGGACGGGUGAGUAAUGUAUGGGGAUCUGCCCGAUAGAGGGGGAUAACCACUGGAAACGGUGGCUAAUACCGCAUAAUCUCUUAGGAGCAAAGCAGGGGAACUUCGGUCCUUGCGCUAUCGGAUGAACCCAUAUGGGAUUAGCUAGUAGGUGGGGUAAUGGCUCACCUAGGCGACGAUCCCUAGCUGGUCUGAGAGGAUGAUCAGCCACACUGGGACUGAGACACGGCCCAGACUCCUACGGGAGGCAGCAGUGGGGAAUAUUGCACAAUGGGCG
rnacentral:rRNA from 1 species